rnacentral:tRNA from 1 species
GGGCCGGUAGUUCAGUGGCAUGAACGCUCGCUUCGCAAGCGAGAGGUCGCGGGUUCAAAUCCCGCCCGGUCCACCA